GCAUCCUACGGGAGGCAGCAGUGGGGAAUAUUGCACAAUGGGCGCAAGCCUGAUGCAGCCAUGCCGCGUGUAUGAAGAAGGCCUUCGGGUUGUAAAGUACUUUCAGCAGUGAGGAAGGUGGGUAUGUUAAUAGCAUACUCAUUUGACGUUAGCUGCAGAAGAAGCACCGGCUAACUCCGUGCCAGCAGCCGCGGUAAUACGGAGGGUGCGAGCGUUAAUCGGAAUUACUGGGCGUAAAGCGCAUGCAGGUGGUUUGUUAAGUCAGAUGUGAAAGCCCGGGGCUCAACCUCGGAAUUGCAUUUGAAACUGGCAAACUAGAGUACUGUAGAGGGGGUAGAAUUUCAGGUGUAGCGGUGAAAUGCGUAGAGAUCUGAAGGAAUACCGGUGGCGAAGGCGGCCCCCUGGACAGAUACUGACACUCAGAUGCGAAAGCGUGGGGAGCAAACAGGAUUAGAUACCCCGGUAG
rnacentral:rRNA from 1 species